CGGCAUGCUAAUACAUGCAAGUCGAACGAGUUCCCGUUGAUUGACGUGCUUGCACUGAUUUCAACAUUGGAACGAGUGGCGAACUGGUGAGUAACACGUGGAAAACCUGCCCAGAAGCAGGGGAUAACACUUGGAAACAGGUGCUAAUACCGUAUAACAACAAAAACCGCAUGGUUUUUGUUUGAAAGGUGGCUUCGGCUAUCACUUCUGGAUGGUUCCGCGGCGCAUUAGCUUGUUGGUGGGGUAACGGCUCACCAAGGCGAUGAUGCGUAGCCGACCUGAGAGGGUAAUCGGCCACAUUGGGACUGAGACACGGCCCAGACUCCUACGGGAGGCAGCAGUAGGGAAUCUUCCACAAUGGACGCAAGUCUGAUGGAGCAAUGCCGCGUGAGUGAAGAAGGGUUUCGGCUCGUAAAACUCUGUUGUUGAAGAAGAACGGGUGUCAGAGUAACUGUUGACAUCGUGACGGUAUUCAACCAGAAAGCCACGGCUAACUACGUGCCAGCAGCCGCGGUAAUACGUAGGUGGCAAGCGUUGUCCGGAUUUAUUGGGCGUAAAGCGAGCGCAGGCGGUUUCUUAAGUCUGAUGUGAAAGCCUUCGGCUUAACCGAAGAAGUGCAUCGGAAACUGGGGAACUUGAGUGCAGAAGAGGACAGUGGAACUCCAUGUGUAGCGGUGGAAUGCGUAGAUAUAUGGAAGAACACCAGUGGCGAAGGCGGCUGUCUAGUCUGCAACUGACGCUGAGGCUCGAAAGC
rnacentral:rRNA from 1 species